ensembl:snRNA U6 U6 spliceosomal RNA
AUGCUCACUUUAGCACACAUGUACUAAAAUUGGAAUGAUACAGAGAUUACCAUGGCUGUUACAGAAGGAUGACAUGAAAAUUCAUGGUUUUCAAUACUUUUGU